AUGAACGCUGGCGGCGUGCUUAACACAUGCAAGUCGAACGAAGCAUUUAAGACAGAUUACUUCGGUUUGAAGUCUUUUAUGACUGAGUGGCGGACGGGUGAGUAACGCGUGGGUAACCUGCCUCAUACAGGGGGAUAGCAGCUGGAAACGGCUGGUAAUACCGCAUAAGCGCACAGUACCACAUGGUACAGUGUGAAAAACUCCGGUGGUAUGAGAUGGACCCGCGUCUGAUUAGCUUGUUGGCGGGGUAACGGCCCACCAAGGCGACGAUCAGUAGCCGACCUGAGAGGGUGACCGGCCACAGUGGGACUGAGACACGGCCCAGACUCCUACGGGAGGCAGCAGUGGGGAAUAUUGCACAAUGGAGGAAACUCUGAUGCAGCGACGCCGCGUGAGUGAAGAAGUAGUUCGCUAUGUAAAGCUCUAUCAGCAGGGAAGAUAGUGACGGUACCUGACUAAGAAGCUCCGGCUAAAUACGUG
rnacentral:rRNA from 1 species